GGAUUUUAUUAUCUGUUGGUUUUUUGGAGCUUAAUUCUGCAGUACUGGUGUUAAAUUGAAGCUUUCUUGGUGGUACUUCAAUACUGUAUAGUAUCUAGUUUAUUCAAGUUGAGUGUGGAGACAAUUAGUGCUUGAGCUGGGAUUUCUAUUAAGUUCUGAAUUUUGUUUUGCGGGGCUUUUGGAUGGUUUGACUGGUUGGUUUUCUGAAAAAUUGGUGUUUUGGGUUUUUUUUUUGGAGUGAGCUUAUAUUGGGUUAUCAAGUAUGGAUAACUCAAAAAACAGGCAGCAGAAUGAUCAUUUGGGUGUCAACAAGAUGGGCAAGAAUAUAAGGAAAAGCCCGUUGCACCAACCCAAUUUUGCUAACAAUGCCAAUAGGCAACAACCUCAGCCUCAAGUCUACAACAUAAGCAAGAACGAUUUUAGGAAUAUUGUUCAGCAACUAACUGGUUCUCCAUCGCAAGAGCCUUUGCCUAGACCUCCACAAAAUCCACCCAAACCCCAAAGUAUGCGGUUGCAGAAGAUUAGACCACCCCCUUUAACUCCCAUCAAUCGGCCCCAUAUUCCCCCUCCUGUGCCGGCUCCAGCACUGGCAUCACCCCCAGUUCCUUUUAACAAUGGCUUUGUUAGGCCUGGCCCAUUUGGACACCCAGCUCCAACAGCGUCUGGGGACUAUGCUUGGGCAAAUACAGCCGAGUCUCCAAUCUCAGCUUACAUGCGAUAUCUUCAAACUUCAAUAAUGGAUCCUAGUCCGAGGACGAACUUAGCUCAACCACCAUUACAACAACAGCAAGCACAAGGUCCAGGGCAAAUUCAGCCUCAGCAAUAUUCUGGUUUACUUCCUAAUCCACAUGUGCCUGCACUACCGUCACCAAGAUUAAAUGGUCCCGUUCCCCCUGUGCCUAAUCUCCUCUCCCAACAAAUGAGUGGCCCUGCCCUUUUACCUUCACCCACAUCUCAAUUC
rnacentral:misc_RNA from 1 species